GAUCAUAAGAAUAGGCUCAGAUUACAUAAAAAAAAUAUCCACUAAUUAAGUCUUAUAUGAAUAAAAAAAUAUUACACAAUCAUUUAUUACAUUAAAACAUGUCUUUGAAUCAGCAGAGGAGCCUCAACUUGUUCCAGAUGUUUGACAGGAUCACCAUUAGAAGCUGCUCUUUCCCUCCGUAUUUUCCAGUUUGAUCACAUCAUUCAUCNUUCAUCUCCGCGUAAACGGGAAUACAAACCCUGAAACAUCAAACAAGACACAAUUUCCGCAGACAAACAAUUAGUUUUUAAUUUCUGUGUUUCUUAUAUGGAAACUGAUAACGCCAAAUCCCGUUCCGGUGCUUCCUCCGCUGUGUACUGGUGUCUUGCGGUGUAGCUGCUGGACGGGUGUCUGCAAAACAACACCGGAGGGGGGUUUGAGCCCCGCGGCGCCUCCGGCGGAGGGGGGCUUGAGCCCCGCGGCGCCUCCGGCGUGAGAAUGAGUACAGGCGUCGGAAAAUAGAUAGACGGGAAAUGAGUUAUCUAUGUGUGGUGGGUGAAGGUGUAUGGCUGCUGUGUAUGGUGGCUUAGAGUGUGUGAGAAAUAUGAGAGUGUGGAGAAGAAGAUCCUUAAGCCUCUCAUCCUUGGUCUAUUUAUAGGCCAAGGAUGAGGGUUUAAGGAUGUGUACCUUGGAUCCUGCUGUCCAUCUGUAGGGCUUGGAUGCUUAACACCUGUCCAGGUGUCAGCUAAGGAAUAGUAUUUUGGAGUGUUAUGAGGUUUGUCUUCAUAGUGUCAGUAGCUGGCAUUGGGUAUUGUCCUUGUCAUGUCAGACUGCAACUUGUUCAGGUGUCGGCUUGGACUCUUGUGUCCCGGUCCGGGGGAAGGAUGGAUAGGUUGCGUCUGGGUCCGGGAUCAUCUCCGGGGUCCGAGAUCAUCUCCAAGGUCCGGGAUCGUCUCCUGGUUCUGAGAUCAUCUCCUGGGUCCGGGACCAUAUCCGGGUCAUAUCGUGCUCGGGUCCGGAUUAAGCCAAUCCAGAGUCCGGGUUAAGCCAAUCCUUUUCAUGUUAGAAUGUGGCUUGUUCAGGUGUCGGCUUGGACUCUUGUGUCCCGGUCCGGGAGAAGAGUGGAUAGGUUGUGUUUGGGUCCGGGACCAUCUCCUGGGUCCGGGAUCGUCUCCUGGGUCCGGGAUCAUCUCCGGGUCAUAUCGUGUUCGGGUCCGGAUUAAGCCAAUCCAGGGUCCAGAUUAAGCCAAUCCGGGUUAUACCCUAUCAUUUGCCCCCCACUCCCUUAUACAGAUUUUCUGUGUGAGGGAGUUGAGUGUAUUGUCUAGUCCGAGCUGAUUGCGGAGAAGGUGGAGUUUUUCAUUUGCCCCCCUGUCCGGGCUAACCUGGACAAGGUGGAAUUUUUGCUUUUGCGCCUCUAUCCCGGUUAAUCCGGUAUUAGGCGAAGAAUCCUGCUUUUGCUCCUCUGCCUGGGUUGACCCGGACUAGGUGUGAAAUCUUGCUCACCUAUCCAGGUGGAUCCAGACAUGGUGUGAAAUUUUGCUUUUGCCCCCCUGUCUGGACCGAUCUGGACGAAGUGGUGGGAAUCUGCUUUUUGCCCCCCGUCUGGGUUGAUCAGGGUAGGAUGUGAGAUUUGGCUUUUUAUCCCUCGGCCUGGGUUGAUCCGGACAAGAGGUGAGUCUGGACGAGAUUGCUCGGCAUGAGUCCGGGUGAUUGCUUCUUUUUUUUUUUUUUUUUUGUUUGCCUUAGAAAAUUUUUUUCCAAGUAAGAUAGCUCAUGAUUGAACCGGGGUACUCGGGUUUUCAAAAUUGAACCGGGGUAGCUUUUGCUUUUUUGCCUUCAAAAAUUUUUCGAAAAAUUUUUCUAAGUAAGAGAUAGGUCAUAACUGGACCGGGGUAGCUUUUGCUUUUUUGCCUUCAAAAAUUUUUCGAAAAAUUUUUCUAAGUAAGAGAUAGGUCAUAACUGGACCGGGGUAGCUUUUUGUUUGUUUGCCUUAGAAAAAUUUUUCCAAGUAAGAUAGCUCAUGAUUGAACCGGGGUACUCGGGUUCUCAAAAUUGAACCGGGGUAGCUUUUGCUUUUUGCCUUGGAAAAUUUUUCCAAGUAAGAGAUAGAUCAUGAUUGAACCCGGGUAGCUUUUUGUUUGUUUGCCUUGGAAAAUAAUUUUUCCAAGUAAGAGAUAUGUCAUAACUGGACCGGGGUAGCUUUUUGUUUGUUUGCCUUAGAAAAAUUUUUCCAAGUAAGAUAGCUCAUGAUUGAACCGGGGUACUCGGGUUCUCAAAAUUGAACCGGGGUAGCUUUUGCUUUUUGCCUUGGAAAAUUUUUCCAAGUAAGAGAUAGAUCAUGAUUGAACCCGGGUAGCUUUUUGUUUGUUUGCCUUGGAAAAUAAUUUUUCCAAGUAAGAGAUAUGUCAUAACUGGACCGGGGUAGCUUUUUGUUUGUUUGCCUUAGAAAAAUUUUUCCAAGUAAGAUAGCUCAUGAUUGAACCGGGGUACUCGGGUUCUCAAAAUUGAACCGGGGUAGCUUUUGCUUUUUGCCUUGGAAAAUUUUUCCAAGUAAGAGAUAGAUCAUGAUUGAACCCGGGUAGCUUUUUGUUUGUUUGCCUUGGAAAAUAAUUUUUCCAAGUAAGAGAUAUGUCAUAACUGGACCGGGGUAGCUUUUUGUUUGUUUGCCUUAGAAAAAUUUUUCCAAGUAAGAUAGCUCAUGAUUGAACCGGGGUACUCGGGUUCUCAAAAUUGAACCGGGGUAGCUUUUGCUUUUUGCCUUGGAAAAUUUUUCCAAGUAAGAGAUAGAUCAUGAUUGAACCCGGGUAGCUUUUUGUUUGUUUGCCUUGGAAGAUAAUUUUUCCAAGUAAGAGAUAGAUCAUGAUUGAACCCGGGUAGCUUUUUGUUUGUUUGUCUUGGAAAAUAAUUUUUCCAAGUAAGAGAUAGAUCAUGAUUGAACCCUGGUAGCUUUUUGUUUGUUUGCCUUGGAAAAUAAUUUUUCCAAGUAAGAGAUAGAUCAUGAUUGAACCCGGGUACUCGGGUUCUCAAAAUUGAACCGGGGUAGCUUUUGCUUUUUGCCUUGGAAAAUUUUUCCAAGUAAGAGAUAGAUCAUGAUUGAACCCGGGUAGCUUUUUGUUUGUUUGCCUUAGAAAAUUUUUUCCAAGUAAGAUAUAACUCAUGAUUGAACCUGGGUAGCUUUUGCUUGUUUGCCUUAGAAAAUUUUUUCCAAGUAUGAUUGCUUAGUCUGGACUUAUAUGAGUCGGGACUUAUGGUUGUCUUAAAAAAAUAUUUUCUACUGCCUAGUCCGGACUCAUUAUUGAAUCAGGACUAGUAUGAUUGCUUAGUCAGGACUAGUAUGGUUGGUUAGAAAAAGUAUUUUCUAAUGCCUAGUCCGGACUCAUCUAAGUCAGGACUAGUAUGGUUCCUUCUGUCCCGUACCCGGAGUCCCUACUAACUUUGUUUUUUAGAAGCUCAUGGAUCAUGUUCCUUAGGCUUGUCCGAUCCUCAUUAUUUUUAUCGUCUGUGAUCAGCCUUGGGGUUGGCUCAUUCCUAGACCACUUGGAGCGGGACUUGCUCAUAAGCCUUUAUUCUUCUAGCUGGAUCCUUCUUUGAAUUUUCUGCUCUAGCUUUUCUCCUUCUUCCCUCUCUACUUUUCUGCCAGGAUCUUUCGCCUUGUGGCAUCACUUUCUCUCUGCUUCUUUUUCCUUACUUUGUCACCAAUCCGGUCAAAAACGGAACCCCGGGAUUGACGGGAAUUUUCAAAGUCUUCAAAAUCAGCAAUCAACCCGGGUCCUUUGAGGUUCUCGACUCGUUGUUCCUGGUAUAACCGGAUUGCUUCGGCCAACUCUAUGUUGGUUAGAUAUGUAACAUGGUCUGCGGUCAUCGGGACAUCGAUGCACUUAACUGGUUCAUUUCAAUUGUGACCCGGGCAUCGUCUAGGUUGAUCCGGGUCUCUUCUGGAUUGAUCCCGGUCAAGAGUGGUUUAGAGAUGAGAUCCUGAUGUGGAUUGUCCUGGUCCACCGGGUUGAACUGCUAGGAUCGGGUUGAUUGGGUUUGGGUUUUUCCACCUCUUGUCAGGAUUAUAGUGAACGAUUCAAACAAGAACUACCCAGGGAGUAUGCUUGCUUUUUGGUGAAAGUGUAUGUGUGCAGUAUAGACAAUAGUGGAAUGAUAGAAAUAGUGUAGGCAGAUAGUCAACUUACUACUUCAAGAAAUGCUAGAAAUAGUUAAAUGACAAAGGUGUAAGGGACUACAGGACAAGGUGUCUUGAUGUACUACAGACAAAGUUAGGGUGCUUCUAGACAGGGUUUGCUAACAUGCACACAACAAAGAGAAUCAUGGCUGAGAGGGUUUUGAGAGAUUUGAGUGUAUUUUGAAGCUUACAGGGUUGAAUCGGGACUCCCUUUUCGGGAGUUUGCUGAUGAAGAUGAGUCCAGUGGCACCGUGACCACAGGACGGAGAAUACAACCUCCCCCUCCUUCUAGCGCCAAAUGAUAACGCCAAAUCCCGUUCCGGUGCUUCCUCCGCCGUGUACUGGUGUCUUGCGGUGUAGCUGCUGGACGGGUGUCUGCAAAACAACACCGGAGGGGGGUUUGAGCCCCGCGGCGCCUCCGGCGUGAGAAUGAGUACAGGCGUCGGAAAAUAGAUAGACGGGAAAUGAGCUAUCUAUGUGUGGUGGGUGAAGGUGUAUGGCUGCUGUGUAUGGUGGCUUAGAGUGUGUGAGAAAUAUGAGAGUGUGGAGAAGAAGAUCCUUAAGCCUCUCAUCCUUGGUCUAUUUAUAGGCCAAGGAUUAGGGUUUAAGGAUGUGUACCUUGGAUCCUGCUGUCCAUCUGUAGGGCUUGGAUGCUUAACACCUGUCCAGGUGUCAGCUAAGGAAUAGUAUUUUGGAGUGUUAUGAGGUUUGUCUUCAUAGUGUCAGUAGCUGGCAUUGGGUAUUGUCCUUGUCAUGUCAGACUGCAACUUGUUCAGGUGUCGGCUUGGACUCUUGUGUCCCGGUCCGGGGGAAGGAUGGAUAGGUUGCGUCUGGGUCCGGGAUCAUCUCCGGGGUCCGAGAUCAUCUCCAAGGUCCGGGAUCGUCUCCAGGUUCUGAGAUCAUCUCCUGGGUCCGGGACCAUAUCCGGGUCAUAUCGUGCUCGGGUCCGGAUUAAGCCAAUCCAGAGUCCGGGUUAAGCCAAUCCUUUUCAUGUUAGAAUGUGGCUUGUUCAGGUGUCGGCUUGGACUCUUGUGUCCCGGUCCGGGAGAAGAGUGGAUAGGUUGUGUUUGGGUCCGGGACCAUCUCCUGGGUCCGGGAUCCUCUCCUGGGUCCGGGAUCAUCUCCGGGUCAUAUCGUGCUCGGGUCCGGAUUAAGCCAAUCCAGGGUCCAGAUUAAGCCAAUUCGGGUUAUACCCUAUCAGAAACAUCAAGCACAAUGAUAGAGCACACCCAAAGAAUAGAAGAAAGUCAGAAGGAAAAUUAGAGAUAAGGAUGACAAAGAAUACCAAUGAAGUAAUACAUUUUAGCAGAAAAUUACAAAUUUUAGGUAAAGAUUUAAAAUCUAAAACAUAAACGAAACAAAUAUUAUCCAAUAAUGUAGUACUACAGGUCAUUUUGGAUGAUCUAUUUUGGUUUUCUGAUUAAACACUUGCUUGCACAGUCACAUGCGCAAUCCUCCACUGUGCCACCAUCUUUCCAUACAAUGCAGUGGAGAAUACUUUAACUAAAGUUGUCAUUCUCAUAGAAUAAGAUUGAAAACUUUCUACCGAUCCAAAGCCAUGGGACUUCUACAGAUCAUCAAUAUAAGAUACGAUAAAAAACAAGAUAAAGUGAAGAGGAUUUUGAAUACACGUAAUUCAGUAAUGUUAAGUUUUAAUAUCUGAGAUGUCAAUAUCAAGAGAGACUAUUACUAGCAUGAAACUUAAUAAGAGUGAACCAUCUUGAUAUUCUAAAAACCAACAUAAAGAGUACUUACGCCGACAGGAACUCUGCUAUUGAAAUAGAUGCAAAUGUCCAUGCUGCAGCUACUUAAAUGCCUGUUGAUACGACCUGCACAGACCACAUGCACAAGGAAAAAAUAUUUAAAAUAAAGAUAUAAACAAGUCAGCAUGGUAGUAUAAAUUUGCCAGAAUAAGUAGAUUAGCUUGUUGGAAAAACAAAAAGUUUUUGAUAAUCAUAUGUAUGCUUUGUUUAUGUCUGCCGAGUCAAAAAAAAGUCAAUCAUUUCUACUCUACUUAUGCGGGUUUUAUUUUCCUAGGUGCUAAAAGGUCUACACCUAAGCAGUAUAUAUGAGUUUAUGUAUCAAUGUAUAUACUUAAUAGUGCAGAUCUAUGAAGCUAGCCUAAUCGAGUAAGGGGUCAGUUAAUAUUUUCCCAGUACAAAUAUAAGACAUGAUAUCUGAUAUGGGAUGAUAUGCAACUAAGUUCAGAUUUCAGAAAUGCAUCAUCAAACAAAACAUUUAAAUGAGCAUAAGUAAGCAUCCUUAAAUAAAAUGGAAAACUUUAUCAUGCCAGAAAAACAGGGAAGUACUUUACCUUGCACCUGGCACCCGACACAAAAAGAAGUAGAUUAAACAAGUCAGAUUAUCAUCUUGGUUUCCCAAAAUACUCUCUAAGCAAUGUACUAAUAUUAAUUUUAAGUAAAUAUAUAUAUAU
rnacentral:lncRNA from 1 species